rnacentral:rRNA from 1 species
UACGUAGGGAGCGAGCGUUGUCCGGAAUCAUUGGGCGUAAAGAGCGCGUAGGUGGCCCUGUAAGUCCGUUGUGAAAGUCAAAGGCUCAACCUUUGAAAGCCGAUGGAUACUGCAGGGCUAGAGUACGGAAGAGGCGAGUGGAAUUCCUGGUGUAGCGGUGGAAUGCGCAGAUAUCAGGAGGAACACCAAUAGCGAAGGCAGCUCGCUGGGACGUUACUGACGCUGAGACGCGAAAGCGUGGGGAGCAAACAGG